GUGAAUCAUCGAAUCUUUGAACGCAAAUGGCACUCUCUGGUAUUCCGGGGAGUAUGCUUGUUUGAGGGUCAGCAAAAACAAAAUCACGGAUUUAUUCUGUGGAAUUGGGCAUUUCAAGGAAAUUCAAUUCCGUUUUGAUUGCCUAAAAAUGUUUCUUGGUUCGUUAGACGUGAACUAAAAUCUUUGGAUCUCUCUGACAAUGAACCGCAAAUAACGCAUUAUGAUCAUUCAUUCUAACGGAUGAAGGUUCAUAUGCUAUUAAAUUAAAUGACCUCAAAUCAAGUAAGAUUACCCGCUGAA
rnacentral:misc_RNA from 1 species